rnacentral:rRNA from 1 species
CAGCCGCCGCGGGAAUACGAAGGGGGCUAGCGUUGUUCGGAUUUACUGGGCGUAAAGGGUGCGUAGGCGGAUUGUUAAGUCAGGGGUGAAAUCCCGAGGCUCAACCUCGGAACUGCCUUUGAUACUGGCGAUCUUGAGUCCGGGAGAGGUGAGUGGAACUGCGAGUGUAGAGGUGAAAUUCGUAGAUAUUCGCAAGAACACCGGUGGCGAAGGCGGCUCACUGGCCCGGUACUGACGCUGAGGCACGAAAGCGUGGGGAGCAAACAGGAUUAGAUACCCGAGUAGUCCCUGUCUCUUAUAC